rnacentral:rRNA from 1 species
AUUCCAGCUCCAAUAGUGUAUAUUAAAGUUGUUGCAGUUAAAAAGCUCGUAGUUGGAUUUCUGGCGGGAGCGAUCGGUCCUUCACUCAGUGUUGGAACCUGAUUGUCUCCUGCCAUCCAUGGAGAAAACUUAUCUGGCAUUAAGUUGUCGGGUAGGCAAUCUCCAUCUUUUACUGUGAAAAAAUUAGAGUGUUCAAAGCAGGCUUAUGCCGUUGAAUAUAUUAGCAUGGAAUAAUAUGAUAGGACUAUGGUACUAUUUUGUUGGUUUGUGCACCAUGGUAAUGAUUAAUAGGGACAGUCGGGGGCAUUUGUAUUCAAACGACAGAGGUGAAAUUCUCAGACCAGCGGAAGACGAACCACUGCGAAAGCAUUUGCCAGGGAUGUUUUCAUCG